rnacentral:rRNA from 1 species
GUGGAUUAGAUACCCUGGUAGUCCACGCCGUAAACGUUGGGCACUAGGUGUGGGGCCUUAUCAACGGGUUCCGUGCCGCAGCUAACGCAAUAAGUGCCCCGCCUGGGGAGUACGGCCGCAAGGCUAAAACUCAAAGGAAUUGACGGGGGCCCGCACAAGCGGCGGAGCAUGUGGCUUAAUUCGAUGCGACGCGAAGAACCUUACCUGGGCUGAACUACGCGGGAAAAGCCGUAGAGAUACGGUGUCCGUAAGGGUCCGCGAUAGGUGGUGCACGGCCGUCGACAGCU